GACAGCAGCAGCCGCGGGAAUACGUAGGUCCCGAGCGUUGUCCGGAUUUAUUGGGCGUAAAGCGAGCGCAGGCGGUUAGAUAAGUCUGAAGUUAAAGGCUGUGGCUUAACCAUAGUACGCUUUGGAAACUGUUUAACUUGAGUGCAAGAGGGGAGAGUGGAAUUCCAUGUGUAGCGGUGAAAUGCGUAGAUAUAUGGAGGAACACCGGUGGCGAAAGCGGCUCUCUGGCUUGUAACUGACGCUGAGGCUCGAAAGCGUGGGGAGCAAACAGGAUUAGAUACCCCCGUAGUCCCUGUCUCUUAUACC
rnacentral:rRNA from 1 species